GCAAUGUCUGAAUAAGUCUGCAUUUAAAAAAUAUGUAUACAUGAACUCAUGCAAUGUUUAUUAAGGAACCAUGUGCUGCAACUGUAAGAGGAGGUAAUGGGUUCCUGGCCAUACCACUGUUUUCCUCUCUUCUGCUGCUGGCGAAAGGAUCUUUGUGGUGGAGCAGCUGCUAUAGCCUGAGGUGAGGUCAUGCCCUCUUCUCCCUUUAUCCUUUGCCCCAUUCUCUAGCAGGGAAAAUGCAGCAGGGAUGCCCCUGGAGGUGGCUGAGCCCCUGUCUAGAGAAAGAGGCAAGCUCUGUUGACACAGGUCUUUUGUAAGGCCACAAGGUUUAAGCUGGUGGCCCAGGACCAUCAUUCUACUAUAAUAAAGAUUAUGAAAUAAUAAUAUAA